GGGAGCCUGGUGGGUUACCGUCUAUAGGGUCGCACAGAGUCAGAUAAGACUGAAGUGACUUAGCAGCAGCAGCAGUCAUGUGACAAUACAUGAUAAUAGUGAAAUGGAAAUCAUAGUAUCUGCUGCAAAAUAUCGUUGUGGGACUCAGAUAAGGCAACAUAUAAGGUUGAAUGAUAUGGAAAUUUGGCAACAAAUUAGGUUGAAUGAUAUGGAAAUGAUAUGGAUGAUAUGACCAUCAUUAAUCCCACAAGACCCCAACGGUUUUAAAUGGUUUAGUUGAAUGGGUAAAACCGAGAGUAUUUUCUAGCAAAUUGAGACUCCUACUAAAUAGCAACUUCCAGAAAAGACAGUAUGGGCUGGAAGCAGGGAAAUCUGUAUUUACUCAUUUAAGUAAGCUCACAUCUGUCCUGGAAGGAGGGAGCAGACAAGGUAAGAGUGAUGACAGCGGUUGUUAUCAAUGGCUCUGCUUUCUAAGUAUCUGUGACAGUUGGCUUAACCUUGAGACAUCCCUGUUAUUUCAGACUUCUGUAAGAAUUAACACAUAUGAAACAGAAUCUGUAAAAUCAAGUCAGGCCCUCUAGAAAGUUCAUAAUAUAGUUUAUUUGUGUUUUAGAAAUAUUUUCCAAAAAGAAAAGAACUGAUCAAAUAUUAGCAACCCAUGAAGGCAGGGAAAGCAAAGUUCAUGAAACCAGAAAGAGAGAUUUGGGUAGGUAAGGGGAGGAGUCCUUCUGUAGGAAGAGAAGCUUUUGUGAAUGGAGCUGGCUCUUGGUAUAGAAUUUAAAAGUCGCCGUCUUACCACUCUCUCUGCCGCAUCAUAUGUGACACCUUGACCUGUUGUCAUCAGUUAUAAACAUCAGGGAGUUUAUUGACCCCAGCAGAUCUGGGUGGCUAAUUGCAAGCAGUGCACACAUUGUUUACAAGAGGCUUAAGCCGCGUGCUGGAUGUACUCAGCGAGGAAUCUCAGAGCAGCUGAACCACCUGCUCGGAGUUGACCCAUCUUGGUUCACAUAAGAACUUGAGAACACUUCUGAAUUCUUGAAUGAUUGCCUGGAGUCGAGAGGCUUAGUGAUGUGAGAACUUGAGCUGAAAAGAUGAUAUCAUGUCGUAGAUAGGAUCAUCCUGUCAUAAUUAGGGCCGAAGGCAGUUCGUUCUGACAUAAGACAGAGAGGGGUAUACAAAGACAUGAGGUUUGAUUUUUCCUACAGUUUAUAUCAGUUCUAAUAAGUUGUUCUCCCCUCUUUUUCCUCUUGCCAUUCAUCAUGCCAUAUUUUGAAUAUUUUUCUCCCCUCGAGUGUCUUGUUCUUCUUGUUCAGACUCUAAGUCGUGUCCAGCUCUUUGAGACCCCAUGGACUGCAUCACGCCAGGCUUCCUGAAAUCACAUGGAUACAGGAGCCUAGUGGACUACAGUCCAGGGAGUUGCAAAGAGUAGGAGAGGACUGAACGACUAAGCAGGCUUGCAGGCACAAGGCAAUAAAUUCUCCUUAAAGAAAAGGAGAAACUUAAAGAAGGUAAUUUAAAAACACUUUCUUGCUGGAAGGCAGUUUCUGUUAACACGGGGCAAUUAGAACAUGGGCUUCGAGGAUGACGAUGCAACCACCAGGCACCUGACAAUUGAACUGACAGCUGGUCAUCUGAUGGCCAGCGUGUCCUUCCACUUCCCCAGACUUCCAAGCGCUCUUGCAGAAAA
ensembl:lncRNA